rnacentral:rRNA from 1 species
AGCACGGACUUCGGUCUGGUGGCGAGUGGCGAACGGGUGAGUAAUGCGCCGGAACGUAUCCAGUAGAGGGGGAUAACGCAGCGAAAGCUGUGCUAAUACCGCAUACGCCCUGAGGGGGAAAGCAUGGGAUCUUCGGACCAUGCGUUAUUGGAGCGGCCGACGUCUGAUUAGCUAGUAGGUGAGGUAAAGGCUCACCUAGGCGAUGAUCAGUAGCUGGUCUGAGAGGAUGAUCAGCCACACUGGAACUGAGAGACGGUCCAGACUCCUACGGGAGGCAGCAGUGGGGAAUUUUGGACAAUGGGCGCAAGCCUGAUCCAGCCAUUCCGCGUGAGUGAAGAAGGCCUUCGGGUUGUAAAGCUCUUUCGGCAGGGAAGAAAAGGUUCUGGUUAAUAGCUGGAACUGCUGACGGUACCUGAAGAAGAAGCACCGGCUAACUACGUGCCAGCAGCCGCGGUAAUACGUAGGGUGCGAGCGUUAAUCGGAAUUACUGGGCGUAAAGGGUGCGCAGGCGGCUCUGUAAGUCUGACGUGAAAUCCCCGGGCUUAACCUGGGAACUGCGUUGGAAACUGUAGAGCUAGAGUGUAGCAGAGGGGGGUAGAAUUCCACGUGUAGCAGUGAAAUGCGUAGAGAUGUGGAGGAAUACCGAUGGCGAAGGCAGCCCCCUGGGCUAACACUGACGCUCAGGCACGAAAGCGUGGGUAGCAAACAGG